rnacentral:lncRNA from 1 species
AUAAAUCAAACAACUUAUCUCAAUUUGCUUAGACCAAUUUUCUCUUCUCAAAUAAUCAGAAUUUUUGUAAGAAGAGAGAGAGAAAGCUUUUUAGAGAGAGAGUAUGUGAGAGAGAAAUAAGUUUUUCUUUGUAAAUGAAUUGGCAAAUUUGAAAUGAAAGAAAAACCUCAUAUUUAUCGAUUUUUAAAAGUCAAGGGCAAAAAAGGUAAUUUUUAAAAUCUGAUUUUAAAUAUACGGUUUGGAUGAAAAAAUAUGAAUUGAACGGUCCAGAUUUGGACAGAUUUUACGUGGAAGAAUUUGUAAAUCCGCCUAGGCCAUUUUUCAUCUACUGAGCAUUUAUUUCAAGUUUGACCAUAUGUAAAAAUGGUUCCAGCGCACACACGGUUUUGGCAAAAAAAAGAUGGCAGCUCAUGCAUGCAUUUAAACCAUUAUCUUAUAUAUGUAGUAUACUUUCCAUCACACAUAUGAGACAUGAGCUUUAAUGCACACGGUAAAAAAAAUUUGCCGGCUAACUUUUUCUUUGCAUGCAUGCUUUAUAUGACUAUAUAUAUAUAUAUAUAUUAUAUUUUAUAAUAUAGUUAGUGUAUAUAUAUAUAUAUAUAUAUAUAAUUUAGUACUUAUAAAUUAACAAUAAAUAAAAUAUAGUUAGUAUAUAUAUAUACUCGGUUUUAUAUAUAUAUAUAUAUAUAUACUUAUAUAAUUCUUAUAUAUUAUGUAACAGAAUAAUAAAAUAUAUAUAUUAUAUUAACGCUUGGCUAAGUAAAUGCCAACAAGUCUUACAUUAUGUAAUAAAAUAACAGAAUGAUACAUGACAUAUAUAUAUAAUAUUAAAUGUACACACACACGUUAACUAUAUAUAUUAUAUUAAGGGUAAUAUGUGAUUUUUUUUACAAAAUAAGUAAGUUGAUAUAAAAUAAUUUUUUUUGUCGGGGAAUAUCCGUACGACGGUACAAUCAUUAGUGGACCCCACAACGGAAUUAUUUUCGGAUUGAGAAAACGAUAAAAAUAUUUUUAUGAAAAUAACGGCGGAAGUUUUACUUUUAAAACUGUUGAACUACUCGAUAGUAAAAGUACAGUAAUACACGUGGUUGCAUAGUAGCACACGGUAUUGAUUAUUAAUGUUUACGUGAUAUGUAAGACCCCAAAUUAUUAUUAAUGAAAUUUAAUUUUCUCUAUUUAUUAUGUUGAAAUAGUAAGGGUUGAUUUGAUUAAUAUGAUUAGUUAUGGAUAAAAUGCGCAAAUAUUUCAAACAAGCAAGUGGUUUUAAAAUAUUCAUUUUUAUCGGAGAAUAUUCUUUUGGUCGUGGAAUAUUCUUACUGUCGGGGAAUAUUCGUACGACGGCGCAGCCUUGUGUGGGCCCCAUAAUGGAAAACGAUUGGAUGAAGAAAACGACAAGAAUAAGUUGUUUAUAAAUAAUGGCGUAGUUGUUACCAUUAAUACUGUUAGAAUACCUGGUAGUUAAAACACAGUAGGACACGGUAUUGCACCAAUUAUUGAUUCUUACGUAAGAAGACACUACUCGAUAAUUAUUACAGUAAUUACUGUUCAGUAUUUUAUUUUAUUGAUUCAAUAAUUGUUGCGUUGAUAUUUUAUAUUACUGUUGUUUCAAUAAUUGUCACUACACAGUAUUUUCUAUUAUCGGAGCAAUAAUUCAUAUUAUCUGAAUAAUAUUAGAUAACAUUAUUGGCAAUAUCUAGAAAGUUCUGUCUAAGAAGAGGUUUGGUCAUCUAAUUGCGCACCAGUAAGGAGAGAUCCUUAUUGGAAAGCCCCUCUUUCCUGGGAACUGUCUGAUUGUCAGUAUUGUGAUUCUGUAAUAUUAUUGUGAAUGAUUAAUUAUUGAUUUAUAUGAUGAGAAAAAUAUUUAUUUUAUGUGGAUAUAGAUGGAGAAAAUUUUAAAAUGAAAAUUGUUGAAAAAUUGAUAUUUUAUCUUUUUAGAUAAAAUAUAUUAUUAUAUUUUAAUAAUAUAAUAAUGGUGAUAUUUUUACAAUGAAUGUGAGAUAUAUGAGUAUAUGAGGAAGAAGAGUAUUUUUGUGGCAUUAAAUGAUUAACACAUGUUUUGUGUGCCGGUGGACCCCAAUUAUUGACUGAAAUUUGAUUAUAGCCUGUAAAAUUGCCCGUUUGUGAAUUUCGGUAAAUUUUUGUUUGGAAUUUGGAAAAAUUUUCUUCUACAAAGUUGUAGAGAAUGAAAUUUCCUAUGGAAAGGACAUGUGGUUCGAAUUUUUCUAACAAAAGGGCUAUUUAUUGUGAAUUAUUGAAGUUCCGAAGUUUCGAAAUAAUUGAUUUUUGGAAGUUUUAUUUUUUUUUUAAGAAAAAUGUUUUUUUAUUUUGUGGACAUCAUUAACAUGUGUAAACAUGCUGAAUUCAGUUGUCAAAGAGGAGGGCUUGAAUAAUUUUGAUAAAUAAAAUUAUUUUAUUAAAUUUUCUGCUUUGGUGUUCUAAUCAUUUUCCUAUAAAUAGGGUGCUUAGGUUAGAAUUAAAAAUAACACCAGAAACUGAAAUCUUCUAUCUCUUUCUCUCUCGAUAUAUUGAGCGUAUUCUUGUGAGUAUUUUGAUACUUUGAGUGUUGUUAUACGGUGCAAGUUCCCUUCAACACUAUAUUCAGUAUUUCAGCCAGAAGCACUAUUCUUUCGAGGUAAGGGAUAUUGUUUUUUUUAAAAUGAUAUUAUUUCUUCUAAUAUCAUUAUGCCAGAAUAUUGGUAAGAUUUUUCUUGUGAAAUUCUUGUCUUUU